rnacentral:rRNA from 1 species
AUGCGGUUUGAAACUUUCGAAGAAACAAAGAACUUCUACAACGUAUAUGCGAAGCAUGCGGGUUUUGCUAUCAGGGAAGGCCCCAAGUUUAAGACCAGAGCCUACCUUUAUUGCACGUGCUAUGGAGUUUAUGAAUCCAAGGUGUCUGAAGCAAAAACUAACAGCGGGGCUAAAAUGAGGCUAAAGAAGGAAAAGGAUGGAACAUUUGUCAUAAAAGAGAUAGUCUGGGAACACAACCACAGGCUACAGCUCACCACAGAAAUGCUUGUCUUCUUGCACUCCCACAAAAACUUUGAGAAAACAAUAUUGGAGUACAUCAAGUACUUGUAGUUCAAAGGCAUUGAACACGCGCAAAUCAUGAGCAAACUGGGCGGUGCUGACCCUGGUAGCUACUUCCUCGAAAUGAAUGCCAAAGACCUAUUUAACCUGAAAGCAAAGAAUUCAAGGAUUGAUGAUGUGGAUGAUGUCCUAAAGACUAUCAACUUCUUUAGGGAGAUGAAAGCUAUAAACAGGGAAUUCUUCUGUGACAUGAAACUCGACGCAAGCUGCCGAGGGGCGUAUCAGGACUUUGGGGACUGCGUAAUGUUUGACACAAUAUAUAAGACCAACAAGUACCAUAUGCCACUUGGGGUGUUUGUCGGAACUAACAACCACUUACAGACUACAUUCUUUGGUUUCGCCCUGAUAAGAGAUGAGGAUGCAGAUUCAUUCAAGUGGCUGUUCAAGACAUUUUUGAGGUGCAUGAGAGGGAGGGCUCCUACAUGCAUCCUCACAUACUAGUGCCCGGCAAUGGCUUUGGUGAUCCCAGAUAUUUUCAAGAACACAGUACAUAAGCUAUGCCACUGGCACAUUAUGAAGAAGUACAGGGAACACCUCGCGUACCUGUACUACUUGCACGAUGACUUUAAGGAUGAAUUCACAUCAAUGCUCAAUUGGCUCCUCAUGCCAACUGAGUUUGAGUUUGGCUGGAAAAGACUCAUGGAUAAGUAAAACCUCCACGAUGAUGCCACAAUGGUGGGCAUGUGGAACGAGUGUGAGAGAUGGAUAUCAGCCUACUUCAAAGAAAUUUUCUGCGCCAAAAUGACAUCCACAUAGCGAAGUGAGAGCAUGAACUAUGUGCUCAAGAAGAACUUCAUAAGUGAGAGACAAAACCUACACCGGUUUGUCAGCCAAGUAAACUCCUGUGUCAAAACCAGGAGGCAGACAGAGAACCAGGAGACAAUGGGUAACCGGGUAUAG